rnacentral:rRNA from 1 species
UACAGAGGGUGCAAGCGUUAAUCGGAAUUACUGGGCGUAAAGGGUGUGUAGGUGGUUUGGUAAGUUAGUGGUGAAAUCCCUGGGCUUAACCUAGGAAUGGCUGCUAAAACUGCUAAGCUGGAGUACAGUAGAGGGUAGUAGAAUUCCCGGUGUAGCAGUGAAAUGCGUAGAUAUCGGGAGGAAUACCGGUGGCGAAGGCGGCUACCUGGACUGAUACUGACACUGAAACACGAAAGCGUGGGGACCAAACAGG